AGAGUUUGAUCCUGGCUCAGAACGAACGCUGGCGGCGUGCCUAACACAUGCAAGUCGUACGAGAAAUCCUGGGCAACUGGGAAAGUAGAGUGGCGCACGGGUGAGUAACACGUGGGUAACCUACCCUUAGAUUUGGGAUAACUCCGCGAAAGCGGGGCUAAUACCGGAUGAUAUUCUGAUUCCCAAGGGAGUCGGAAUCAAAGAUGGCCUCUGCAUGCAAGCUAUCGUCAAAGGAUGGGCCCGCGUACCAUUAGCUAGUUGGUAGGGUAACGGCCUACCAAGGCAACGAUGGUUAGCUGGUCUGAGAGGAUGGCCAGCCACACUGGAACUGAGACACGGUCCAGACUCCUACGGGAGGCAGCAGUGGGGAAUCUUGCGCAAUGGGGGAAACCUUGACGCAGCAACGCCGCGUGGGUGAUGAAGGCCUUCGGGUCGUAAAGCCCUGUCAGGUGGGAAGAAACGUAUCGGUGCUAAUACCACCGAUACUUGACGGUACUACCGGAGGAAGCACCGGCUAACUCCGUGCCAGCAGCCGCGGUAAUACGGAGGGUGCAAGCGUUGUUCGGAAUUACUGGGCGUAAAGCGCGUGUAGGCGGUCGGGCAAGUUAGAUGUGAAAGCCUUCCGCUUAACGGAAGAAGUGCAUUUAAAACUACCCGGCUGGAGUACGGGAGAGGAGAGUGGAAUUCCCGGUGUAGAGGUGAAAUUCGUAGAUAUCGGGAGGAACACCAGUGGCGAAGGCGGCUCUCUGGUCCGAUACUGACGCUGAGACGCGAAAGCGUGGGGGAGCAAACAGGAUUAG
rnacentral:rRNA from 1 species